AAGAUUUUAAACAAGAAUUUUUGCCACCACAACAGAAAGAUAUGUUCCGAAGACAUGAAAGUUUCAGUGUGGGCCCCUCAAACUUUGCAGUUCCCAAGCAAGAGCAGCAGAAUAUUAGAUGGAAACCAUAUUUCAUGCCGGAAAAAAUAGCUGCCGAAGGAACGAGCUACUCCCCACUGGAGAGACAAUUUAGUGAAGUCAGUGAAUCAAAACUGAGUUCUGUUUCUGAUACUGAAUCAAUGAGUUCUAUUGCAGAUCAGGAUGACAAGAAGCCUGAUGAAUCA
rnacentral:misc_RNA from 1 species